GAUGAACGCUGGCGGCGUGCCUAAUACAUGCAAGUCGAGCGAAUGGAUUAAGAGCUUGCUCUUAUGAAGUUAGCGGCGGACGGGUGAGUAACACGUGGGUAACCUGCCCAUAAGACUGGGAUAACUCCGGGAAACUGGGGCUAAUACCGGAUAACAUUUUGAACCGCAUGGUUCGAAAUUGAAAGGCGGCUUCGGCUGUCACUUAUGGAUGGACCCGCGUCGCAUUAGCUAGUUGGUGAUGUAACGGCUCACCAAGGCAACGAUGCGUAGCCGACCUGAGGGGGUGAUCGGCCACACUGGGACUGGGACACGGCCCAGACUCCUACGGGAGGCAGCAGUAGGGAAUCUUCCGCAAUGGACGAAAGUCUGACGGAGCAACGCCGCGUGAGUGAUGAAGGCUUUCGGGUCGUAAAACUCUGUUGUUAGGGAAGAACAAGUGCUAGUUGAAUAAGCUGGCACCUUGACGGUACCUAACCAGAAAGCCACGGCUAACUACGUGCCAGCCGCCGCAGUAA
rnacentral:rRNA from 1 species